rnacentral:ncRNA from 1 species
GCCCCAGAACCGUGAGGAAACGGCCCCUUGCGGAUCGGGUACCUAAAACUAAAGGAG